AUUGAACGCUGGCGGAAUGCUUUACACAUGCAAGUCGAACGGUAGAGGGGGCAACCCCUUGAGAGUGGCGAACGGGUGAGUAAUAUAUCGGAACGUGCCCAGUCGUGGGGAUAACGUAGCGAAAGUUACGCUAAUACCGCAUACGAUCUAAGGAUGAAAGCGGGGGAUCGCAAGACCUCGCGCGAUUGGAGCGGCCGAUAUCAGAUUAGGUAGUUGGUGGGGUAAAGGCUCACCAAGCCAACGAUCUGUAGCUGGUCUGAGAGGACGACCAGCCACACUGGAACUGAGACACGGUCCAGACUCCUACGGGAGGCAGCAGUGGGGAAUUUUGGACAAUGGACGCAAGUCUGAUCCAGCCAUUCCGCGUGCAGGAUGAAGGCCCUCGGGUUGUAAACUGCUUUUGUACGGAACGAAAAGGUUCUAUUAAUACGAGGAGCUCAUGACGGUUACCCGUAAGGAAUAAAGCACCCGGNUAACUACGUGCCAGCAGCCGC
rnacentral:rRNA from 1 species